UACGUAGGGGGCAAGCGUUGUCCGGAUUUAUUGGGCGUAAAGAGCGUGUAGGCGGCCUGACAGGUCUGCUGUGAAAACUCGAGGCUCAACCUCGAGAUGUCGGCGGAAACCGUCUGGCUAGAGUCCGGAAGAGGAGAGUGGAAUUCCUGGUGUAGCGGUGAAAUGCGCAGAUAUCAGGAAGAACACCUAUGGCGAAGGCAGCUCUCUGGGACGGUACUGACGCUGAGACGCGACAGCGUGGGGAUCAAACAGG
rnacentral:rRNA from 1 species